rnacentral:rRNA from 1 species
UACGGAGGGUGCAAGCGUUAUCCGGAUUCACUGGGGUUAAAGGGAGCGCAGGCGGGCUGGUAAGUCAGUGGUGAAAGCCUUGAGCUUAACUCGAGAACUGCCAUUGAUACUAUCAGUCUUGAAUAUUGUUGAGGUUUGCGGAAUGGGUCAUGUAGCGGUGAAAUGCAUAGAUAUGACCCGGAACACCUAUUGCGAAGGCAGCAGGCUAAACAAAGAUUGACGCUGAGGCUCGAAAGCGUGGGGAUCAAACAGG